GCAUUUUUUUAUUAACAUUGGCAAAUUUUGCAGAUUUGUUUGACAUACAAUCCCUAGCUUUGCUUGUGGAUUUAGUCUCAUACACAAUGGUAAGCACGUAAUUAUGCUAGUAUGAGUAGAGUAUAAUUAUAUUGAGUCCUAUAGACCAACGCAGUUAACUACAUGUCCGGUGUGGCGGAGUAAUCAAAGAUCCGCUUGACGAGCCUAUAUGGAAGAGCCGUCACACCUCGUAUGUAUGUUGCUGCUAGUAGUUGUUAAUUAGUUGAUUCUUUGACAGUGAUACAC
rfam:Bat coronavirus HKT2, complete genome